rnacentral:pre_miRNA from 1 species
AUACUACUCCCUCCGUCCGAAAAUACUUGUCAUCAAAAUGGAUAAAAAGAGAUGUAUCUAGAACUAAAAUACGUCUAGAUACAUCCCUUUUUAUCUAUUUUGACGACAAGUAUUUCCGGACGGAGGGAGUAUAAG